CUAAAAAACCGAAUCUCAGUUCGGAUUGAAGUCUGAAAUUCGACUUCAUGAAGCUGGAAUUGCUAGUAAUGGCAGGUCAGCAUACUGCCGUGAAUACGUUCCCGGGCCUUGUACACACCGCCCGUCACACCAUGAGAGUUGGGAAUACCCGAAGCCUGUGAGCUAACUGUAAAGAGGCCGCAGUCGAAGGUAGAAUCAAUGAUUGGGGUGAAGUCGUAACAAGGUAUC
rnacentral:rRNA from 1 species